GAAGAAGCUUGCUUCUAAUUGAAAAACAUUUGAGUGAGUGGCGGACGGGUGAGUAACACGUGGGUAACCUGCCCUAAAGUGGGGGAUAACACUUGGAAACAGAUGCUAAUACCGCAUAAAACCUAGCACCGCAUGGUGCAGGGUUGAAAGAUGGUUUCGGCUAUCACUUUAGGAUGGACCCGCGGUGCAUUAGUUAGUUGGUGAGGUAAAGGCUCACCAAGACCGUGAUGCAUAGCCGACCUGAGAGGGUAAUCGGCCACACUGGGACUGAGACACGGCCCAGACUCCUACGGGAGGCAGCAGUAGGGAAUCUUCCACAAUGGACGCAAGUCUGAUGGAGCAACGCCGCGUGAGUGAAGAAGGUUUUCGGAUCGUAAAACUCUGUUGUUGGAGAAGAACGUAUUUGAUAGUAACUGAUCAGGUAGUGACGGUAUCCAACCAGAAAGCCACGGCUAACUACGUGC
rnacentral:rRNA from 1 species